UGCACACACAUCGACCUGCUGCUGCAGUGCUAUGACAUCUCAAAGAAGCAUUGGGAUGCAAGAUUCUUUUGGGCCUGUGACGCACCUCUGGGAGCUUCCCUGGGCACAUCUGUGAGCCAUAGAGAUCUGGCUGUGGUGGGCGCAAAUAAAGAAAGAAAACAAAGUUAAAACAGAAUGGGGGACAACUGAGAAGAUGGCAGGAGGAAACCAAUGGGCCAGAGCGGGGGAGGCCCGUCUAAAAUGGGAGUUUAACGAGCCUGGCUGCUGUCAUCUGACGUUUCUGGCAACAGGAGGUUAUUUCACCAUCAAGAAACAAGAGGCUCUGAGUAAUGGGAACAGAAGGCUUUGGAAGGACUUCACCACGUUCUGCAACUGAAAUAGAGAAGAAAACAGGGGCAGAAAGUAAACGCGGCAACCAACAACCACCAGAACACAACCAGAGACGCAGGUGCCCAGCGGCGCUGCUGAUACUUUACUUUUAUCCCCUCCUCCCGGG